CUCCAUGUGUCAUGGGGGGGAACCAGUAGGAGGUAAUUGAAUCAUGGGUAUGUGUUUUUCUGUUCUCGUGAUAGUGAAUAAGUCUCAUGAGAUCUGAUGGUUUUAUAAAAGGGCAGUUCCUCUGCAUGCUCUCUCUUGCCUGCUGCAAUGUAAGACAUGUCUUGCUUCCCCUUUGCCUUCCACCAUGAUUGUGAGACCUCCCCAGGCAUGUGGAACUAUUCUUUUCCUCUGCUCUCCUGCACAAAUCUAAGGAUAUUUAUCAUAAGAACUAUAUGUACCAAGACCUCACAGGAACAUCACUGCUGGGUCAGAAGCAAAAUGAACUUGACCUCAGUCUGUCAAGAGUUGUUUGACGAAAUCAUCGUUGGUCUGGGAGAGCAAGGUCCAGGGAAUUGGUGGACAGUCUUCCCUUCUUGACACUCAAGACUGUGUAUGACUAUGAACUACAACCUGAAGUCUUAGAUGAAGCAAUGGGACAAACCAACAAGCUCAAAUGGGCAUCUAUUGUCAUGGACAGCUACUGAUAGAUACUCUACAACUGUGUUUAGGUCCAUGGUUUUGAAUGUGAUGCUCUACACAUGCCAUGGCCACAUUCACUUUCUGUGGAAAUUAUUUUGUUUGCGUGUCUUAAAAUUUCUCUUAAAGUUUCAAUAUUACACAUUCAUGCCUCCUCUUUCCCAAGUCAAUAACCAGUGAUGAACACUAACUGGAAAGGGUUCCUCAAGUAUAAGUACUGUACAUGUUAUGCUAACAAUUUUUCAAUAUUUUCACUGUCCACUGAAUCCAACUUCCUUAGCAAGAGCUAAUAUUUUUGCUUUGCACCACUUCCCCAAAACCUUACAAGUCAACAACAAAUAGCCAAACCAGUUUCCUGUGAACUUCACUCUUUUUUGUGAUUUUCUUUUCCAAGCUUGACUGAUGAACCUGAGAGCCUUUUGGAUAUUGCAUGGGACACAUCUCAUGUACCUCCUCAGACUCUUUUGGCCCUCCAUCCCUCUCAUGGGCUACAUCAUUCUGCUUCAAGCCAACCAGCCACAUGUCUUGAUUAAAACAUCAAGACUUGAUAAACACCAUGUUGCAGAGACCUGUCUUCCCAUGUGAUGUGGACAGCUGAGGAAACCCAGAAAUCCACUGGGAGACAGGAGAUAGGAAGGACCUGGAAAAUAAGUUUUAACUCCUGUUUUCUUUCCAAUUGACUACUCCAAAGCAUAGUUUAUCUGCAUGACCUGCCCCCAGCCUAAAGAAUUUAACUGCCUAACAACUGCAUGUGUCUUCUUGCAGCACAUUUUACAUUGGCCAGCAUGGUAACACAUCACAUCUUGUCUUGUUCCUAAUCCUUCACUGUCUUACUUCCCUUGUCCUUCACUUAUGCUGUCCUGGUAUUGUGCAUCAAUUAAAAACUAUUGCACUUAAUCUGUGCUUCAGACUUUGUUUUCUAGGUAAUCGAGGGUAGAGCAGAUGUUGAAGCUCUUUAAUAAAUUUUCCAUCAACAUAGUGUUAUCUAUGUCAGCCCUCUGCACGAGAUAUUACAUGUUGAGGUGGCAUUUUGAUCCUUAGGUUACAAAAGUGACACAGUUUUGGAAGACAAAAAGAACAUUAAGAUAUUAUCACUAAAUCAACAGUGUAAAAAUUGUCUGAGGCACUAUUAUAAAAGAGUUUUCUUUUAAUUUUUUUUUUAUUAUACUUUAAGUUCUAGGGUACAUGAGCACAACGUGCAGGUUUGUUACACAUGUAUACCUGUGCCAUGUUGGUGUGCUGCACCCAUCAACUUGUCAGCACCCAUUAACUCGACAUUUACAUCAGGUUUAACUCCCAAUGGCAUCCCUCUCCCCUCCUCCCUCCCCAUAAUAGGCCCCGGUGUGUGAUGUUCCCCUUCCAGAGACCAAGAGAUCUCAUUGAUCAAUUCCCACCUAUGAGUGAGAACAUGCGGUGUUUGGUUUUCUGUUCUUGGCAGUAGUUUGCUAAGAAUGAUGGUUUCCGGCUGCAUCCAUGUCCCUACAAAGGACACAAACUCAUCCUUUUUAUGGCUGCAUAGUAUUCCGUGGUGUAUAUGUGCCACAUUUUCUUAAUCCAGUCUGUCACUGAUGGACAUUUGGGUUGAUUCCAAGUCUUUGCUAUUGUGAAUAGUGCCGCAAUAAACAUACGUGUGCAUGUGUCUUUACAGCAGCAUGAUUUAUAAUCCUUUGGGUAUAUACCCAGUAAUGGAAUGGCUAGGUCAUAUGGUAUUUCUAGUUCCAGAUCCUUGAGGAAUCGCCAUACUGUUUUCCACAAUGGUUGAACCAAUUUACAAUCCCACCAACAGUGUAAAAGUGUUCCUAUUUCUCCACAUCCUCUCCAGCACCUGUUGUUUCCUGACUUUUUAAUGAUCGCCAUUCUAACUGGUGUGAGAUGGUAUCUCAUUGUGGCUUUGAUUUGCAUUUCUCUGAUGGCCAGUGAUGAUGAGC
rnacentral:lncRNA from 1 species